rnacentral:rRNA from 1 species
GACGAACGCUGGCGGCGGGCUUAACACAUGCAAGUCGAACGGAAAGGCCCUGCUUUUGUGGGGUGCUCGAGUGGCGAACGGGUGAGUAACACGUGAGUAACCUGCCCUUGACUUUGGGAUAACUUCAGGAAACUGGGGCUAAUACCGGAUAGGAGCUCCUGCUGCAUGGUGGGGGUUGGAAAGUUUCGGCGGUUGGGGAUGGACUCGCGGCUUAUCAGCUUGUUGGUGGGGUAGUGGCUUACCAAGGCUUUGACGGGUAGCCGGCCUGAGAGGGUGACCGGCCACAUUGGGCCUGAGGUACGGCCCAGACUCCUACGGGAGGCAGCAGUGGGGAAUAUUGCACAGUGGGCGGAAGCCUGAUGCAGCAACGCCGCGUGCGGGAUGACGGCCUUCGGGUUGUAAACCGCUUUCGCCUGUGACGAAGCGUGAGUGACGGUAAUGGGUAAAGAAGCACCGGCUAACUACGUG